UACAGAGGGGGCUAGCGUUGUUCGGAAUUACUGGGCGUAAAGGGCGCGUAGGUGGCCUGUUAAGUCGAACGUGAAAUCCCCGGGCUCAACCCGGGAACUGCGUCCGAGACUGGCAGGCUCGAAUCCGGGAGAGGGAUGUGGAAUUCCUGGUGUAGCGGUGAAAUGCGCAGAUAUCAGGAGGAACACCGGUGGCGAAGGCGGGUCUCUGGGCCGAUACUGACGCUGAGGAGCGAAAGCGUGGGGAGCAAACAGG
rnacentral:rRNA from 1 species